CAGCUGAGCCAGACUGAUGAUACAUAAUAAAACCUGUUGAUUUGUGUCCACAGAAGGUGCUGACAGCGCCUCUGAACAAGGUACUGAAGAGAAUGUAGCUGAAAGUACCGACGUCAGCUCUGUUUCUAGUGAAUCUGCCUCUCAAGAUAUCGCUGGCACUGACUCGGAUUCCAGUGAAUCUGCUUCUGAAGAUACCGCUGGCACUGACACUGACUCGGAUUCCAGUGAAUCUGCUUCUGAAGAUACCGCUGGCACUGACACUGACUCGGAUUCCAGUGAAUCUGCUUCUGAAGAUACCGCUGGCACUGACACUGACUCGGAUUCCAGUGAAUCUGCUUCUGAAGAUACCGCUGGCACUGACACUGACUCGGAUUCCAGUGAAUCUGCUUCUGAAGAUACCGCUGGCACUGACACUGACUCUGACUCCAGUGAAUCUGCUUCUGAAGACAAAGCUGGCACUGACAAUACCCCUGAAGCUAGCUCUGAAUCUACUGAUGCUGACGAUGAAUCUACUGACACUGAAUCUACUGACGCUGCCCCUGAAUCUACUGAUGCUAGCUUUGACUCUACUGACGCUGACACUGACGCUGACACUGAAUCUUCUGACUUUGGCGCUGAAUCUACUUAUGCUGACGCUGAAUCUACUGACACUGGUGCUGAAUCUACUGAUGCUGACGAUGAAUCUACUGAUACUGAAUCUACUGACGCUGCCGCUGAAUCUACUGAUGCUAGCUUUGACUCUACUGACGCUGACACUGAAUCUUCUGACGUUGGCGCUGAAUCUACUGAUGCUGAUGCUGAAUCUACUGAUGCUGACGAUGAAUCUACUGAUGCUGCCACUGACGCUAGCUCUGAGGCUGACGCUAAAGCUGAUGCUAACAUACCUACAGAGAAAGACGACAGCACGGACAAUGAAAGCCCAGAAGAGGGGGGGGGGACAGUGGGUGAGUUGUCAACUAAGGGGGAGGGACAGAGGGAAGAGAGUGGAAAGAUGGGGGAUGAGACGUCACAGGAAUCAGAUGAGGAGGGAGGUGACACAGAAGAUAAAAUGCUAGAGGGAAAAGAAUCGGCAGAGGAGGAGCUGGACGAGGUCACAGAGGAGAAGGAAAGCAGAGAAAAUGACGACAGCAAUGAAAGCAGAGAGGAGGGGGGGGAGAUAGGGGGGGAGUCACUGGCAGAGGGGGAGGAGGUGCAGGAAGGAGGUAACAUUGGAGAUGAGGAGUCAAAGGAAUCAGAAGACGAGAGGGACAUGAUGGAGGGAGACGACAUAAAAGAUGAUACAUCAGAGGACAAAGAUUCAGCAGAGCUGGACGAGAUUUUAGAAGAGAAAGAAAGCGAAGAAAAUUACGACAGCGCGGUCAAUAAAACAGAUGGAAACCAGACAAAUGCUGAGAGUAGUGAAGAGGAGCCUCAAAGAGUCCUUGACAUGCCGGACCCUAACACCACGGAGAAGGAUGAGAGGAUCCUGGACAACUCUGUAAACACGGAUACUGAGGUAUCUGAAGAACAGAGUCCAGAAACGGAAGAGCCAAGCCCACAGUGGAAUACAGUUGCUAUGACAACCAUAAGCAACCAACAACCAUAAGCUGAACUGCAACUAAACUUCAACCUUCAACUUCCUGUUUGUGUUUACUCCUCCGCUCGCUCCUGAUUGAUUGGCUCCAUCCUUCUAAAUCUCCACCUGUCUGUCUGCCUGUCUGUGUGUGUGUGUGUCUGUCUGUCUACCUGUCUGUCUGUCUUUCUGUCUGUCUUUCUGUGUGUCUGCCUACCUGUCUGUCUAUCUGUCUGCCUGUCUGUCUGCCUGUCUGUCUGCAGAAACAUUUAACCAGCUGCUGUUCUGAGAUCUAUAUUCACACAUUAACGUGUACAUACUGCUAAUAAAGUUUAAAUUGUCAAACCUUCUGUCACUGCUCACCUAGUCCCUGAGUCUUUAAUAUAAUGAAAAACAGACAUAUUGAUCUGAA
ensembl:lncRNA